UUGAUAAAAAAAAGACAAUAAGAAUGCAAAAAUAAGUAAGGGGUGUGCAAAAAAUUGAGUGGAAAUAUACUGGGAAUCCUAAAUGCUAAAUCCUUGGAAACCUAAAUCUAUUAACCAAAUAUUGACAGUAAAAUAAUUAUAAGAAAAAAUAAACUAAAAGGAAAACAAAGAAAAGUAACGUGUGCAUCGGCCUUUUUUAAGUUAUUGAAACUUUUCUUUCCUUGUUACUAUAUGAAACGACUAUGUACUUAGUCUUUAC
rnacentral:lncRNA from 1 species